ensembl:lincRNA
CGGCAGGUUGAGGUGUGGCGCGCGCUCCGCCCACCGGGCUGGGCGCUCCGGCAGGUAGGCGUCGUGCGGCCCCUCCCUGCGUCCCUCGGCCGCGCGGGCCCCCUCUGUGCGGGGCGUCCGCGUGCGUCCCGCGGCCCCUCGGCCCUGAGCCCCGCCGGGUCUUUCCUGCCCUUCGCAUCUCUGAGGGUCAGGGUUCCCGCGCCGCCGGCUACGUGGCUUGCGGCGGGAACUGCCGCGCCCCGGCCCCGAACCCCCUCCCCGACCUCGGCGCCGCGACCACUGCGAAGACCGCGCUCGGCCCAAGCGCGGGCCCCAAAAACGCCCCGGACUCGGGUUCGAAACUAACAGGGAAAUGUUUCAGACCUGAAUGCUUCGCUCCUUCCUUCAAGCUGCAGCGAAAGCGCGCCUCUGAUAUUGGCCUGUGGAGUAAAGGCUGGUUAGAGAAGACACCAAGCAGGCAGGAACGGUACAAAGAGACAAAAGCGGAAGUCAAAGUCUUCACACUGUCAGCAGAAGAUCAUUCAAAAUUAAAGCAAGGAACUUCGCAAAGUAAAGGUGCCCAUCUUGGAGAGGGAACAAGCAUUCAUCCUGUUGGAUUCCUACAGUUCCCCGAACUCCACAUCCAAUCCACCAGCAAGGCUUGCUUCUGCCUCUAA